rnacentral:tRNA from 1 species
AAGACCUGCAGGACUUUAACCCACAUCUAUUAACUGCAACCAAAACGCUUUCAUUAAACUAAGGCCUUA